rnacentral:rRNA from 1 species
GUCCACGCCUUAAACUAUGAAUACUAAGUGUCGGCGGGUUACCGCCGGUGCCGCAGCUAACGCAUUAAGUAUUCCGCCUGGGAAGUACGGCCGCAAGGUUGAAACUCAAAGGAAUUGACGGGGCCGCACAAGCGGUGGAGCAUGUGGUUUAAUUCGAUGCAACGCGAAGAACCUUACCCAGGCUGGACAUGCAGGUAGUAGAAGGGUGAAAGCCAACGAGGUAGCAAUACCAUCCUGCUCAGGUGCUGCAUGGCUGUCGU